rnacentral:lncRNA from 1 species
GCGGUAGGCGUAAUCGACGAUUGUGGUUACAGAUAACCGCUGUCGUAGAUUAUACCUACCACAGCGGUUAUUAUAACUGCUGCCGUGGGUGACCUAUGAUAGUGGUUAUAGGUAACUAUUGUCGUAGGUUAGAUCCACGACAGUAGUUAUUAUAACCACUGUCGUAGGUAAAAGUUUUAUCAUUCCAUAACUUUUGAUUCAG